GACGAACGCUGGCGGCGUGCCUAAUACAUGCAAGUUGAGCGCUGAAGGUUGGUACUUGUACCAACUGGAUGAGCAGCGAACGGGUGAGUAACGCGUGGGGAAUCUGCCUUUGAGCGGGGGACAACAUUUGGAAACGAAUGCUAAUACCGCAUAAAAACUUUAAACACAAGUUUUAAGUUUGAAAGAUGCAAUUGCAUCACUCAAAGAUGAUCCCGCGUUGUAUUAGCUAGUUGGUGAGGUAAAGGCUCACCAAGGCGAUGAUACAUAGCCGACCUGAGAGGGUGAUCGGCCACAUUGGGACUGUGACACGGCCCAAACUCCUACGGGAGGCAGCAGUAGGGAAUCUUCGGCAAUGGACGAAAGUCUGACCGAGCAACGCCGCGGGAGUGAAGAAGGUUUUCGGAUCGUAAAACUCUGUUGGUAGAGAAGAACGUUGGUGAGAGUGGAAAGCUCAUCAAGUGACGGUAACUACCCAGAAAGGGACGGCUAACUACGUG
rnacentral:rRNA from 1 species